UACGUAGGGUGCGAGCGUUAAUCGGAAUUACUGGGCGUAAAGCGUGCGCAGGCGGUUCGUUGUGUCGGCGGUGAAAGCCCCGGGCUCAACCCGGGAAUGGCCGUUGAAACUGGCGAACUGGAGUGUGGCAGAGGGGGGUGGAAUUCCGCGUGUAGCAGUGAAAUUCGUAGAGAUGCGGAGGAACACCGAUGGCGAAGGCAGCCCCCUGGGCUGACACUGACGCUCAGGCACGAAAGCGUGGGGAGCAAACAGG
rnacentral:rRNA from 1 species